UACAACUGAUCCUGACCCCGUCUGCUCUCUUUCUUCUGUCUGUAGUCUGAUCACUUCGAGGCCGCUCGUUGCUGCGAAAAACAUUAAAUUGAAGGAGCUGGUAGAGGAAAAGAAGAAGAAAAGAUGGUGAAAGAGAAAAGAAGAAAUAGGGAGUGAAAAGGUGGAGAAGGACAAGGAGGAGGAGGAGUAGGAGACGAUGAAAGAGGUGGUAAAAAAGGAGGAGGCCAUUUUGAGUGCAGGCUACUGAGCAGCAGUGGGAGGAGAGUCACCAAGUGAGGAGACUGAUGUGUAUAAUACAUUGCACUCCACCUGCACAGACGGACAACGCACCUGCACCACAGGCAUUAAAGCAGCCUGCUUUUUCACGUGUAGCACAUCCAUCCACUCCUACAGAAAAAGGGCACACUGCUGAGAGAUGGAUAUUGAGAGAGAGCGAGAGGUGUUCACAACACCAUGCUGGGAAUGCAAUUACAUCAACAAGGAGAUAAAAUGUUGGCUCCAACUGGCUUCCAGUGGAAAUGGAAGUAAACAACCAUAGGACCCACUUAGUAAUAGAUGGGAGAAGCUUUAUAAACAAAACAGUUCUUUUUUUCAGUGAAAUGAUACUGAUACACCCCCAGAUAUCAGAAGCUGUCUGGAGAAAACAAAAUCAUUAGAUCAACCAUAUUCAAUUUUUACUGUACGUGUGUAGCACUAGAAACAGCCGACAUCGUCACAAAGCAGCUUUACAGAAACAAGGCUCAAUGGAUCAGGAUAUAAGAUUUAUGAAUACAUUUUAUCCAUAUUUAUAAAUGUAUCCCUAAUAAACAAGCCUGAGGCAGUGGUGAAAAGAAAAACAAUCAGGAUAAAUCCAUGUGAGGAACCAGACUCAUCUGAAGGACACCAGAGUGUGUGAUUAUAAAUCCUUUCCCUUCAAUACCUGUACAUUAUAUGGUCAGAAAGUGUAACUACAUAAUCAGGAUUAUUUAUAGUUUUAAUAUGAAGUCCAUCAUGUUCCAGUUAUUUACUCUUCAGUGCAUUUCCAAAGUCAUUUCCAUUGUUUCUAUGUGGUGCUAUUCACAGUUAUCCCAUUGUAUCUCCAGGCUUUUCGUGUUGGGCCAUUCUCAGCAGUAGCAGAUGAUGAGACUCCAGCCAGAAGUAGGGCAUCAGGAUGGAUCAGGCAGAUCCAAAGGGCAGAAACAUACCAUAACAUACCCAGACUUAUCCAACACACAAUAGUGCUGCAUGCACUGAAUUGCUGGAAGCUGAUAGAACGAGCUGGAACAAGACUCGGUCUUGGUCGACUGAAAGGAUUCACUGAUUGAUGGAGAUGAUUCAUUAAGCUGCAAAUACAACUUACAAAAUACGCUGAUGUGUUAUAUUUGAGACUGGAGCGUUCUGGAUAUGUAUGCAAAUGUAGUGCUCUAGCUUCAGGUCUGUCUUUUGCAGUUUGCAAUCGCAAAGCUCAUUAUAGCGACCACACACACACAACACACACACACACACGUUCUUGCAUUUGAUGGAAGAAACAGGAUCUACUUUCAAUUUUGUCAAACACCCAGUCCAACACCACUAUGGUGCUUUAAAUUGUAUUCCAGUACAUGCAUGGAUUAAACAUUAGUAAUGAUGA